GCAGCCAGUGAUGACAAUAUCUCCCACUCUUGUUCGAGUUUCCCAACCAUGAGACAACUUCACAUGCACUACCAUCUGAGGCUGC
ensembl:snoRNA SNORD33 Small nucleolar RNA Z195/SNORD33/SNORD32 family